AACGAACGCUGGCGGCAGGCUUAACACAUGCAAGUCGAGCGCCCCGCAAGGGGAGCGGCGGACGGGUGAGUAACGCGUGGGAACGUGCCCUUUGCUACGGAAUAGCCUCGGGAAACUGGGAGUAAUACCGUAUGUGCCCUACGGGGGAAAGAUUUAUCGGCAAAGGAUCGGCCCGCGUUGGAUUAGGUAGUUGGUGGGGUAACGGCCUACCAAGCCGACGAUCCAUAGCUGGUUUGAGAGGAUGAUCAGCCACACUGGGACUGAGACACGGCCCAGACUCCUACGGGAGGCAGCAGUGGGGAAUCUUAGACAAUGGGCGCAAGCCUGAUCUAGCCAUGCCGCGUGAGCGAUGAAGGCCUUAGGGUUGUAAAGCUCUUUCAGUGGGGAAGAUAAUGACUGUACCCACAGAAGAAGCCCCGGCUAACUCCGUGCCAGCCGCCGCCGUAA
rnacentral:rRNA from 1 species